ensembl:lncRNA
UCCCUAUAGUGUGUGUGUGUGUGUGUGUGUGUGUGUGUGUGUGUGUGGGUGGGUGGGUGGGUGGGUGGGUGGCAAAGGGAAGAAUCCAUACUACUAUACAUUUAAAAGAAAACAAGCAAGACCUUCAAAAAAGUCUUUGACAGUUGAUGUAAAUCUAACUAUCGACUUUUUCCUGCUGUUCCUAUUAUGAGACCCCUCCAUCUGACCCUUCUUUAUCUGGAUUCAGGGGUAUCUUCCCACGAUCUGGCUGGGAUAGAGCCAGAAAUAGGGAGAUCCUCGGCAGCCAGAGGGGAGGCAAGAGGAGGACAAGUGUCGCUAAUCGUUGUCUCCCUUUAACCCUAAUACCACACACAGGCAGAUAGCAACAUUCCCAUCAGUUACUAGGACAUGAAAUCAACUUAGUCAGUUAACACUUCCUGGAUAUUUAUCCUAAACCCAACCCUACUCUAACCUUAAACCACAUAUCCACUCAUAACUUCAGUUAUUUACAUAAUCAGGACUUUCUGUCCCCAAAAAGUGGAGUGUUCUCACAAUUUGACUGUAUAAACAGAUCUAGGUCCCCAUGCCUAAUAUAACCCCACACUUUGCACACUUGUAAAUCCCCAUGAUACUGACAGUAAGCCACAUUCAUCUCUGAGCCAAGUUCCAACUGGCUCCAACUCAUCACCCCAUUCACAUUAUGACUGAUAAGACUUCAACUGUGUGACACUGGUAAGAAAGAGUAAUGAUCUAUCAAAAAAAAAAAAAGGUCAGCCCAAGAGGAAAUUAGUCUUUAUCCAGUAUUUUCAUUCCUUAGCCACAACAUCAGUGAUGUAACAGUGAUGGUACAAAUGACAAUUAAGCACACUUUGGGUUAAGACCCAUUAGGUGAUCGUUGUGUGCAAGUUUGAUGAGAUUUCUUUCUUUAUUGCCCACCCCCCAAAAAUUACAUUUAAAAAAAAAGAUCUUCUUAUUGUGUUUACAUACACUGCCUAAUUUCAUGCCAAAAUGGAGUACGCAGUUCAAAUGACUUGUACAGUAACAUGUUAGGCAUCUUGAGGUGCCAAGCAAUUCUUCUGAAUAAUAAAGUCUAAACACAGUUUAUUUGUCUUGCAGGAGACCUCAGGGUGACCUUCCUAUUGUUAUGACACGGUCCAUGCAGGAAACACUUGGAUAUUUACUGAGGCAGACAGGUUAAGUGCUUCUCUCAGUCCAGUAGCUAAAAGUGGGAUUGGUUAAAGGGCCAAGACGCAAACCACUGGAAAGUGCCUAAAUUUCUCCAAAACGUUUAUUGCUUUUGGAACAUGACGCCCAUGUUGCCAGCUGAGCAACAGAAAAAGAAGUGAGCUGACUGUUGUGUUGUUCAAAUCAGAAUCAAGCUGUUGAUCUCUUAAGAAGUCAGUCAGUGGCAUUUUAUUUAUUUGUGCCAUCAUUCUUUCUUCAAAAUGCGAAUUAAAACCUUUCAAACACAUAUUGGGCUGGGCCACAUGCAAAGACUUGUUACCAUUACUGAGCUGAAUGUUAGGCCAGAGUUAAAUACACAAACUCUCGCCAUUAAAAAAUAAAAUCUAUGUGAUAUACUACUACCAAAACUUGGUAACACUCGCAUUACUUUUAAAUAAACUUGUGUCACACUUUUGGUCAAGCUGAGUAAUUCAUGUGUUGGCAUUGUUUAUAGAUCGGUGAGGGGAAAACAGUGGAAAGUAUGGGAAAACUGGGUGGAGAGGAUUGCGUGGGUGGGUGCAAGGGGCUCCCAAAUCCAGAGAGGAGAUUUAUCAUAAACCUGGACAACAUUCAGGAGUAAAGAAGAGGAUGAGGGAAAGUCCCAAAAGGUGGAGAUGAAGUGAGAGAGGAGCAGGCAGGAAGGAGUGAGUCAAAGCCUGGCCUUGUUUUCAUUGGAAAAGAUUGGGAGGAAAAUGAGUUGCAGAGUUUGAAUGAGUGUGGUGAUGCAUAUGAAUAACGUUAUGUCUCAUGGAUCUACUUCGGAUCUACUUUCCCCAGACAUCUGUUGGUACAAGUACGACUGAAAACUAAAUACUGGCUAUGUGGCAUCUCAAAGUUUUUGCAUUUCAUUAAAUAGAAACCACCUUUCGACGAGAAGAUUGAUACCACUCUUGGGACUUUACAGUAGAUGUAAAGCUAUAAAAACAUUUAUGGAGAUUUUUGUGGUAUAUUUGAACUGUAUUUGCACCUAGCAAAAACAGGACAUGUAUCCCAAGUAACAUCUGGCCUUUCCUCUAUCAACUUAAGUGUAAUCUGUUGUGUCAGAAGAAGAAGAAAUGUGGUUUUGGAAGCAUUCAAAAUCUAUGUCUCCAAUGAAUCUCUGAUAUACUAGUAGCC